AUGGCGGGCCCCACCUCGCGGCUCCUCCUCCUCGCCCGCGGCGCCGACCUCGGCCGCCGCCGCCACCUCCACGGCCCCCUCCUCCUCCUCCGCCCCCUCCACUCCGCCGCCGCCGCCGACCUCUCCCUGCGGUCCCUCUCCGCCGCGCCAUCUGUUCGGAGCUACUCAAGUGCAUUCACAAGUGUGCAUGGUGGGAGACCGUCAUCAGAGUAUGCAAAGAUCAGAAAGGAGUCGCUGGAAACACAGUUUAGAAGAAUCUUGGGAUCAAGUUCCCACACACUCUUUGCUGACCGUGGCUUCGGUCCGUUCCUUGCACUGUACAGGGCAGCAACUAUCUCUUAUCAUGUUGUGAAGCUUACUGUUUGGCAUUUAUUGCUCAGUGACGUGCAUAAACGAGCUGAGAAGUUCCGGGAGACCUUGAUACGCUUGGGGCCUUUUUACAUCAAGCUUGGACAGGCAUUGAGCACGCGCCCUGAUAUAUUGCCCAGCGCAUAUUGUCAAGAGCUCUCGAAGCUGCAGGAUCAAAUACCACCAUUUCCUACUCGUAAAGCAAUCAGGACCAUCGAGUCUGAACUGGGCUCUCGAAUGUCUGAUCUAUUUGCUGAUAUCAGCCCAGAGCCAAUUGCAGCAGCAUCACUGGGGCAAGUAUACAAAGCUCAUCUACACUCUGGAGAGCUUGUUGCAAUCAAAGUUCAGAGGCCUGGAAUGGCACCCUUGCUGACCCUAGAUGCACUUCUAUUCAAUAUGAUUGGAGGACAGCUAAAACGAUUUGCUAAGGCCCGCAAAGAUUUAUUGGUAGCUGUUAAUGAAAUUGUUAGACACAUGUUUGAUGAGAUUGAUUAUGUUUUAGAAGGGAAGAAUGCUGAAAGAUUUGCAAUCCUGUAUUCUCAUGGUUCAGGUGGUGAAGGCAGGACCAGUAUCAAGGUCCCAAAGGUCUACUGGACUUAUACACGUAAAUCUAUACUAGCACUGGAAUGGAUUGACGGGAUCAAGCUGACCGAUGCUGAGCGCAUCAGCAAAGCCAAUCUGAACAGGAAAAAGAUGAUUGAUGAGGGUCUCUAUUGCUCGUUGAGACAACUUCUCGAAGAUGGGUUUUUCCAUGCAGAUCCCCAUCCAGGUAAUCUGGUGGCAACUGAAGACGGGUCUCUUGCUUAUUUUGACUUUGGUAUGAUGGGUGAUAUUCCAAGACACUAUCGAGUGGGACUCAUACAGAUGCUUGUGCACUAUGUUAACCGUGACCCAUUGGGCUUGGCGAACGACUUCCAUUCACUCGGAUUUGUCCCUGAGGGAACAGACCUACAUGCAGUUGCAACUGCAUUGAGGGUUGCCUUUGGUGAUGGAAGGAGGCAAUCAAAUGAUUUUCAGGGGGUAAUGAACCAUCUGUAUGACGUCAUGUAUGAUUUUAAUUUCUCUCUUCCUCCUGAUUAUGCACUGGUGAUAAGAGCACUUGGUUCUUUAGAAGGGACUGCAAAAGCACUGGAUCCUGAUUUCAAAGUUAUUGAGAGCGCUUACCCAUUUGUCAUUGGGAGGCUCCUUGCAGACCCCAGCCCUGAUAUGAGGAAAAUAUUGAGGGAGCUUCUGAUACGUGAUGAUGGAUCCAUCAGAUGGAAUCGACUGGAGCGGCUGAUUGCAGCUAUAUCUCAACAGUCGUCAGAAUCUUCAAAGAAACCUGGAGAAGAGAAUACUGCCAGCAGUUCUGACUGGAGAUCAUUCGAUAUGCAUUCGGUUGUUUCAGCUACAGAAGACCUUUUUCAUUUCAUUUUAUCGAGGAAAGGCUGGAGGGUUCGUGUUUUCCUUAUCCAGGACAUUGUGAAGGCUUCUGAUGCAUUCUUACAAGAAACAACAUUUCCAGGUAUAUUUGAGGAAGAGGGAAAUACAGGCGAGCUAAAUCCAGAGAGAAGUAGAAUGAUCAGAAGGUUGGUUAAUGGUGUUCAAUCAUUCCGUCAAGCAAUCAGUUUGGCCCCAAAUGCCUGGACCGCAAUGCUAAUCCGUGUCGCCCUGAAACCUGAAUCUCAAAGAUUCAUUCUUGAUGUAUUCCUAGCCUUGGUGAACUAUUCCCAUGACAAGGUUCCAGAAACAUGCUGGAUUUGUAUGUCAAAAUAUCUCAACUACUUGGACAAGCAGUGGAGGUAG
rnacentral:rRNA from 1 species